CCUCACACACCCAAAAACACCUCAAAAAAAUUAAGAAAAAAAUCAUUAGAUGCCAAACAACCUUCCUUGUUUGAAAAAUCACUUUCCUUCUUAUCACCUUAUCUCUAAUUCAGAUUGCAUUCGAAUUAGGCAGGAGAUAAGAUUAUGACUAACCAUCCAUUGCUGCCCACGCUUAUUGGGUCCACUCUCAUGAUGCCAAAAAGCUCAAGCCAAAUCAAAUUUGGUGUUGAGAUUUGUGCAUGAG
rnacentral:lncRNA from 1 species